GUUAUUGUGGAUUUGGAAGAACGAUACACAAAAUCCCUUACAUCAAAGGUUUUGUUAUCAAGAAAAAAUAUGGCCAUGAUGCCACCAAUGUUGGUGAUGAAGUCGUUGAGUAUGCAGCCGUGGAAGAUUUAUUCUCUUGGUUUGAAGAUGAAAUAUUCCAUAUCUUGGCUUGCCAUCCAAGAUUGCGAUUGUUGCUGUAUGAAUAGUUUAAAAUUUGAGCAAAGAUGAGAAUUUUGUGUGUCAUGGCGGGGUACUCGAGAUGGUCAUAUGAUUUGACUUUGCUUUCACGUGGCAACCAGUUAGUGUGUAGGAAUGGCACAUCCAUACUCUUUCUUUAAAUAUUUACAUAUAUGAUCCUCAUUAUUCUUUCAUCGUGUUUUCUAAUCAUUCAUCGUUUA